CCUACGGGUGGCAGCAGUGGGGAAUAUUGCACAAUGGGCGCAAGCCUGAUGCAGCCAUGCCGCGCGUGUAAAGAAGGCCUUCGGGUUGUAAAGCACUUUCAGCGGGGAGGAAGGCGGUGAGGUUAAUAACCUCAUCGAUUGACGUUACCCGCAGAAGAAGCACCGGCUAACUCCGUGCCAGCAGCCGCGGUAAUACGGAGGGUGCAAGCGUUAAUCGGAAUUACUGGGCGUAAAGCGCACGCAGGCGGUCUGUCAAGUCGGAUGUGAAAUCCCCGGGCUCAACCUGGGAACUGCAUUCGAAACUGGCAGGCUAGAGUCUUGUAGAGGGGGGUAGAAUUCCAGGUGUAGCGGUGAAAUGCGUAGAGAUCUGGAGGAAUACCGGUGGCGAAGGCGGCCCCCUGGACAAAGACUGACGCUCAGGUGCGAAAGCGUGGGGAGCAAACAGGAUUAGAUACCCUUGUAGUC
rnacentral:rRNA from 1 species